UCUAUACGCCUGCCUUCUUGUAUCAAAAGGGGCUUUGUUGAAUCACAAUUGGAUGUCUCUCAAGGAUGUCUUUAUCUUUCCAACCGUAAGUUUCCGAACCUAUGGAUUUGGAAACACGAUGGAAGAUCAACAGAUUCUGAUCCUUGGAUCCCGCAGCUUAUAUUCAAGAAAUCGGGUACUUCUGUAUGCCAACCACUUGUUGAGAAAUUUUUUCGUCAAGUUGCGAGAGAACAUAUUUCUCACAUAUAUAAAUCAUCCAUCCUGAGGAACCGGUUGUUUUCAUUGACGUGGAAUCAUCCAUCUUUGCAUUCCAUCUUUUUAAUGGUACUGUUGAAAAGAUUGCUGAGCGUUCUAAGGAAGAUAUUCUUUUGGUGGGUACUGCCUUCAUAUAUUCUCCAUGCUUUGCCUCAUUGAAGCGUCUAAAGCCAACAAAUCCAGAUCGUUGUGAUCAAUCUAGUUGACCGAGGAUCUUGUCUGAUACUUCUGAAGAGGACAACAAAAGGCAACUGAAGAAGACUGAUGCAUGUAACUAGUAUUCCUGAUAUAGCAUUCUAGACUUGCUGGUCCAAACUAUUUUGAAGGCGCACCUUCAUUUUUAUGAAGACAUUGAAUUAUCAUCUAAUUAUACUAUAUUUGUUUGAACUUUUUUGAUACUAUGCAUUUUUAUAUAUCCAAGACCCGUUGAGAUUGGUCUCUGUUAAUGUAAUAUGGUGAAUAUGUGAUUUUUUUUCCUUCACAAUUGAUUGGCCUGAAGAUGCUUUCCUUGGACCAACAGUCUUAGUUCUUAAUGUCUAAUCAUAGGCAUUCCCAUGAAGAGUUUGAAACUUGAAAGAGAUGCUCAUCCUUGUUCUUGAAUGUUGCCUAGUAUCUUUCUUCUUUGGUUGCUUAUAUGCUCUUUUGCGCUGUUACAACCAUCUUUCCUUCUCUUGUUUCUUGGAUUAGUUUUUACCCAUUUAGUUCUCGUGAUAGGUUCAUGGUUUACAUCAAUUUUAUUGUUUGGUUACUAUUCUUUAUUGACUACCUAAUUAUCAUGCUACCAAUUUUUUUUUGACGUAUCCUGUCUAACAAAGACAUUCUACUAGAUAUUUGGACUGCUUCACAAACAAAUUGGUAUGAAUUAAGAUGCCAAACCUACGCACAAAUUAAAGAUGCUUGGGAUUUUAGGAAGGCAGAGCUGACUGGCUUGCCCUUUGAGAUAAUGCUGAUAAAAUGAGUGAGUUAUUUUUGGGAUUUGUGCAAAAAAAAACUGUCAGUUAGGUUAUAUAACCUUUGCUACCAUGCUACAAGAAAAAAAUGCCAAGGGGAUGGCUGAAGCUGCAGAAAAAAUCGAGGCAAAGAUGCUGUCCAUGCAAAACUGCUGAGAUUCCCUGUGAUUUAAACUCAACCUCAGCUGCUCGGGUUUAUUGUACGUUUCUCUUCUUUCUGCUAUUAAUUAACU